GCGUAACGCGUGGGAAUCUGCGUAACGCGUGGGAAUCUGCCCUCUGGUACGGAAUAACUCAGGGAAACUUGAGCUAAUACCGUAUAAUGACUUCGGUCCAAAGAUUUAUCGCCUGAGGAUGAGCCCGCGUCGGAUUAGCUAGUUGGUGAGGUAAAGGCUCACCAAGGCGACGAUCCGUAGCUGGUCUGAGAGGAUGAUCAGCCACACUGGGACUGAGACACGGCCCAGACUCCUACGGGAGGCAGCAGUGGGGAAUAUUGGACAAUGGGCGAAAGCCUGAUCCAGCAAUGCCGCGUGAGUGAUGAAGGCCUUAGGGUUGUAA
rnacentral:rRNA from 1 species